GAUGAACGCUGGCGGCGUGCCUAAUACAUGCAAGUCGAGCGAACGGACGAGAAGCUUGCUUCUCUGAUGUUAGCGGCGGACGGGUGAGUAACACGUGGAUAACCUACCUAUAAGACUGGGAUAACUUCGGGAAACCGGAGCUAAUACCGGAUAAUAUUUUGAACCGCAUGGUUCAAAAAUGAAAGACGGUCUUGCUGUCACUUAUAGAUGGAUCCGCGCUGCAUUAGCUAGUUGGUAAGGUAACGGCUUACCAAGGCAACGAUGCAUAGCCGACCUGAGAGGGUGAUCGGCCAAACUGGAACUGAGACACGGUCCAGACUCCUACGGGAGGCAGCAGUAGGGAAACUUCCGCAAUGGGCGAAAGCCUGACGGAGCAACGCCGCGUGAGUGAUGAAGGUCUUCGGAUCGUAAAACUCUGUUAUUAGGGAAGAACAUAUGUGUAAGUAACUGUGCACAUCUUGACGGUACCUAAUCAGAAAGCCACGGCUAACUACGUG
rnacentral:rRNA from 1 species